rnacentral:rRNA from 1 species
GACGAACGCUGGCGGCGUGCUUAACACAUGCAAGUCGAACGAAGAGCGAUGGAAGCUUGCUUCUAUCAAUCUUAGUGGCGAACGGGUGAGUAACGCGUAAUCAACCUGCCCUUCAGAGGGGGACAACAGUUGGAAACGACUGCUAAUACCGCAUACGAUCUAAUCUCGGCAUCGAGGAUAGAUGAAAGGUGGCCGCUACAUGUAAGCUAUCACUGAAGGAGGGGAUUGCGUCUGAUUAGCUAGUUGGAGGGGUAACGGCCCACCAAGGCGAUGAUCAGUAGCCGGUCUGAGAGGAUGCACGGCCACAUUGGGACUGGGACACGGCCCAGCCUCCUACGGGAGGCAGCAGUGGGGAAUCUUCCGCAAUGGACGAAAGUCUGACGGAGCAACGCCGCGUGAGUGAUGACGGCCUUCGGGUUGUAAAGCUCUGUUAAUCGGGACGAAAGGCCUUCUUGCGAAUAGUGAGAAGGAUUGACGGUACCGGAAGAGAAAGCCACGGCUAACUACGUG